rnacentral:rRNA from 1 species
UGAGGAAUAUUGGUCAAUGGGGGCAACCCUGAACCAGCCAAGUCGCGUGAAGGAUGAAGGUCUUAUGGAUUGUAAACUUCUUUUACACGGGAAUAAAGUGGGGGACGUGUCCCCCUUUGCAUGUACCGUGUGAAUAAGGAUCGGCUAACUCCGUGCCAGCAGCCGCGGUAAUACGGAGGAUCCGAGCGUUAUCCGGAUUUAUUGGGUUUAAAGGGUGCGCAGGCGGGAUGUUAAGUCGGCGGUGAAAUUUUGCAGCUCAACUGUAAAAGUGCCUUCGAUACUGGCCUCCUUGAGUGUGGAUGAGNUAGGCGGAAUUUGUGGUGUAGCGGUGAAAUGCUUAGAUAUCACGAGGAACUCCGAUUGCGCAGGCAGCUUACUAAGCCACAACUGACGCUCAUGCACGAAGGCGUGGGGAUCAAACA